rnacentral:rRNA from 1 species
AUAGAACGCGACGCGGCGAGGCUUAAUACAUGCAAGUUGGAGGGGCAGCAGUAUAUACGCGAGUAUAUGAGUGGCGACCGGCGGACGGGUGAGUAAUAGGUAGGAGACCUACCUCAUACAGGGGGAUAGCAUAGAGAAAUCUGUGGUAAUACCCCAUGAGGUUAUAUGAAUAGAGGCAUAUAAUCAAAGCAUAAGUGAUUAUGCGGUAUGAGAGGGGCCUACUGACCAUUAGCUAGUUGGUGAGGUAAGGGCUCACCAAGGCGAAGAUGGUUAGGGGUUUUGAGAGAGAGACCCCCCCACAUUGGAACUGAGAGACGGUCCAGACUCCUACGGGAGGCAGCAGUAGGGAAUAUUGGGCAAUGGGCGAAAGCCUGACCCAGCCAUGCCGCGUGAAGGAAGACGGCCUUAUGGGUUGUAAACUUCUUUACUACGCGAAUAGAGGUUAGUACGAGAUACUAAUAGGAAGGUAGUGUAGUAAAAAGCACCGGCUAACUCCGUG